UCCAGCGCAGCAAGGCGUUCUAUGCGGCGGCACUGGCGCCGCUGGGCAUCAGUCUGGUGAUGGAGGUGAGCGCCGCGCAGACCGGCGCGCAUGACC
rnacentral:tRNA from 1 species